CCUACGGGAGGCUGCAGUAAGGAAUAUUGGUCAAUGGACGCAAGUCUGAACCAGCCAUGCCGCGUGGAGGAUGAAGGUCCUCUGGAUUGUAAACUUCUUUUAUUUGGGAAGAAACUCCCGAUUUCCAUCGGGAUUGACGGUACCAGAUGAAUAAGCACCGGCUAACUCCGUGCCAGCAGCCGCGGUAAUACGGCGGGUGCAAGCGUUAUCCGGAUUAACGGGGUUGAAGGGGUGCAGGGAUGUGCAGGUAGACAUCUCCUGACUUAACCCGGAAACUGCCAUUGAUACUAUUUGUCUUGAAUACUCUGGAGGUGAGCGGAAUAUGUCAUGUAGCGGUGAAAUGCUUAGAUAUGACAUAGAACACCCAUUGCGAAGGCAGCUCACUACGGAAAUAUUGACGCUGAGGCACGAAAGCGUGGGGAUCAAACAGGAUUAGAUACCCGAGUAGUC
rnacentral:rRNA from 1 species